rnacentral:rRNA from 1 species
UAGUCAUAUGCUUGUCUCAAAGAUUAAGCCAUGCAUGUCUAAGUAUAAGCAAUUAUACAGCGAAACUGCGAAUGGCUCAUUAUAUAAGUUAUCGUUUAUUUGAUAGUACCUUACUACUUGGAUAACCGUGGUAAUUCUAGAGCUAAUACAUGCUAAAAAUCCCGACUUCGGAAGGGAUGUAUUUAUUAGAUUAAAAACCAAUGCCCUCUGGGCUCUCUGGUGAUUCAUGAUAACUUCUCGAAUCGCAUGGCCUUGUGCCGGCGAUGGUUCAUUCAAAUUUCUUCCCUAUCAACUUUCGAUGUUUGGGUAGUGGCCAAACAUGGUUGCAACGGGUAACGGAGGGUUAGGGCUCGACCCCGGAGAAGGAGCCUGAGAAACGGCUACUACAUCCAAGGAAGGCAGCAGGCGCGCAAAUUACCCAAUCCCGACACGGGGAGGUAGUGACAAUAAAUACUGAUACAGGGCUCUUUCGGGUCUUGUAAUUGGAAUGAGUACAAUUUAAAUCCCUUAACGAGGAACAAUU